AUACGUAGGUGGCGAGCAUUAUUCGGAAUUACUGGGCGUAAAGGGUCCGCAGGGGGUUUACUAAGUCAGAUGUGAAAGUCGGCGGCUUAACUGCCGAAGUGCAUUUGAAACUGGUAAACUAGAGUAUGUUAGAGGUAAGCGGAAUUCGUGGUGUAGCGGUGGAAUGCGUAGAUAUCACGAGGAAGACCAAAGGCGAAGGCAGCUUACUGGGACAAAACUGACCCUCAGGGACGAAGGCUAAGGUAGCGAAAAGGAUUAGAAACCCUAGUAGUCC
rnacentral:rRNA from 1 species